GCCCAGGUGGUGGAAUGGUAUACACAGCAGACUUAAAAUCUGCCGCCGCGAGGCUUACCGGUUCGAGUCCGGUCCUGGGCACCA
rnacentral:tRNA from 1 species